ensembl:lncRNA
GCCAACUGACUAUGAACUUAACCCCCUGAAGCUGUGAGUUAAAUGAACCUUUUCUCCUUGAAGUUGUAUGUCAGUACUUUCUCCUAGCAACAAAAACUGACAAAUACAACCAUAAUCAAGACAGCUUUUGGAUAAUUUACAGAUGUUUAACUCUAACCAUACUUACCAGGAGAAGACUUACUUGGCAACAUUAGGUACUGCCAGGAAGACACUGAAGAAUACCCAAGUCAACAAGGUGUUUAAUACCAGCUACUUGGGAGACUGAGCCAAGAGAUAAGCCAUGACACCACAGCUAAAGACACUCAUGAAAGAGGACUUCCAGAACUGCUUAAGAAAACGUCAAGAGCAAAGUCAGGAAGCAACUAAAUAUGAAGGAAGACAAAACAUCCAACUGCCUACUUCACAAAUGGUUACUGGAGUCUUGUAAGUUCCUUGGCAAUGAGAAGAAAACAAGCAAUACUGGGGUUUUCUCUCCUUAGAAUUGAAAAUAGGAUUGUUCCAGUUCUGAAUUUUCAACAGCAAGAUAACAAGAAGUUUUUCCAGAGCUCUCCUGAAUUCUUCAACUAAAAGGAAGAGGAAAAUAAAGCAACAGCAACAAAGAGCUCAAAAAAUAAGAAACAAUAGAUUACUUGGGGAAAGUCACUAUUUUAAACAUUGAGACCAAAGGGAAAUUCCCCUAUGAAUUCAUGAGGAAAAGACAUUGAGUAAUUGAGAGCAUUAAUUAAUCUUGUGUGUGUGUGUGUGUGUGUGUGUGUGUGUGUGUGUUUGUGGUACUGAGGGUUGAACCUAGGGCCUUGGAACUGGUCUACAUCAUCAACCCUUUAUUUUUUAUUUUGAAACAGGGUUUCACUAAGUUGCCCAGACCAAGCUCAAACUUGUGACCUCCCUACCUCUACUUCCCAGAGUGCUGGAUAUUAAUUUCUUAACCACAUCCUUGCAGUCAUACAAUAAGAAACUUAGUAGAAAUGUUACUUAUAACAUUCUUCAGUGCAAGUUGACGGCACAAUGUCCAAGCACAGUUUGUCAAAAGCAAUUUAAUGGAGAAACAAAAGAAUGUGACCCCUAGAUAAUUUUUUUUCAUGACUGUGACUUAACCAAAAUAAAUUUUAGAGUAACCAAAGCAAUUGUGCUUACUAUCUUCUAAGCACAAACUGUUAUAAAAAUAAGAUCAAAAUUGUAUGUUCUCAGAAAUGAAUCUACAAGUAUGUAAAAACUCAAUUUUUAUCCACAAUUACAGAGCAAGUCUCAGACUCCCAAAAGUUUCUUGCAGGGGUAAAUAUGGUACACUACCCAUACCUUGAUAAAUCCUAUAUAAAUAUUGUAUCUUAAAACUAUUAAGUUUGAAUAUCAGAGCAUUAAGUUUAAAUAUUGAGCUGAAUGGUACUUUUGACAAAGGCUGGGGCUGUAGCUCUGUGGUAUAGCAUAAGCUUAGUAUCCUCUAGGCUUUGAGUUCCAUCUUUCCCCCCUCCAAUAAGUAAAUAACAGAAAGGUACCAUGCUAGUAAGAGAGCCUGAAGUUAUUCUGUGUUGACUUGUAAAAGAAGAAAUAGGUACUGUAUUAACUAUAGAAAUUGUGGAAAAUAUCAAUAUAUUUUAAAAAAUUGGAAUCCCCAG